GGAUUAGAUACCCUGGUAGUCCACGCCGUAAACGAUGAGGGCUAGUUGUCAGGCGGCAUGCCGUUUGGUGACGCAGCUAACGCAUUAAGCCCUCCGCCUGGGGAGUACGGCCGCAAGGUUAAAACUCAAAGAAAUUGACGGGGGCCCGCACAAGCGGUGGAGCAUGUGGUUUAAUUCGAAGCAACGCGCAGAACCUUACCUACCCUUGACAUCCCGGUCGCGGGGACGAGAGAUCGACCCCUUCAGUUAGGCUGGACCGGUGACAGGUGCUGCAUGGCUGUCGUCAGCUCGUGCCG
rnacentral:rRNA from 1 species